rnacentral:rRNA from 1 species
AACGAACGCUGGCGGCAUGCCUAACACAUGCAAGUCGAACGAGACCUUCGGGUCUAGUGGCGCACGGGUGCGUAACGCGUGGGAACCUGCCCUUAGGUUCGGAAUAACUCCCCGAAAGGGGUGCUAAUACCGGAUAAUGUCUUCGGACCAAAGAUUUAUCGCCUUUGGAUGGGCCCGCGUUGGAUUAGCUAGUUGGUAGGGUAAAAGCCUACCAAGGCGACGAUCCAUAGCUGGUCUGAGAGGAUGAUCAGCCACACUGGGACUGAGACACGGCCCAGACCCAUACGGGAGGCAGAAGGGGGGAAUAUGGAAAAAUGGGCAAAAGCCUGACCAACAAAGCCCGGGGGAGGAAGAAGGGCUUUGGGUUUUAAAGCUCUUUUACCCGGGAUGAUAAUGACAGUACCGGGAGAAUAAGCUCCGGCUAACUCCGUG